AUACGUAGGUGACAAGCGUUAUCCGGAUUUACUGGGCGUAAAGGGCGUGUAGGCGGUCUUGCAAGUCAGAAGUGAAAUUCCUGAGCUCAACUCGGGCGCUGCUUCUGAAACUGCAGGACUUGAGUGCUGGAGGGGAUAGCGGAAUUCCUAGUGGAGCGGUAAAAUGCGCAGAUAUUAGGAAGAACACCGGUGGCGAAGGCGGCUAUCUGGACAGUAACUGACGCUGAGGCGCGAAAGCGUGGGGAGCAAACAGGAUUAGAUACCCUGGUAGUCCACACAGUAAACGAUGAUGGCUAACCGCUGGGCUUAUCAGUUCAGUGGCCAAGCGAAAGCGAUAUGCCAUCCACCAGGGGAGUACGACCGCAAGGUUGAAACUCAAAUGAAUGGACGGGG
rnacentral:rRNA from 1 species